rnacentral:lncRNA from 1 species
CCACUAUUUUUUGCGAAUUGGUAGCAUAUACCUCCAACUCGAGGAAUUAUAUUAAUUUCUUAGCGGGUACUAGAAUCCACACGGACUGCAUUUAGGCCCAAGUGUGGCUCGGCCAAUCCUAGUGCAUCAAUGGGUAGGUUCAUAACCAAUUGUUUCUCCAAACAACUUCUAGCAUUAGGUUUUGCCCCAGACAUCCCUUCAGCAGGCGUGUGGCGUCUCGACUGAAAAUCUUGG